CAGUCGCCGCGGGAAUACGGAGGGGGCAAGCGUUAUCCGGAAUUAUUGGGCGUAAAGGGUACGUAGGUGGCCUUUUAAGCGUAGGGUAUAAGGCAAUGGCUCAACCAUUGUUCGCCCUAUGAACUGGAAGGCUUGAGUGCAGGAGAGGAAAGCGGAAUUCCUAGUGUAGCGGUGGAAUGCAUAGAUAUUAGGAGGAACAUCAGCGGCGAAGGCGGCUUUCUGGACUGCAACUGACACUGAGGUACGAAAGCGUGGGGAGCAAACAGGAUUAGAUACCCCAGUAGUCCCUGUCUCUUAUACA
rnacentral:rRNA from 1 species